rnacentral:rRNA from 1 species
UCGAGAAUCUUCCCCAAUGGGCGAAAGCCUGAGGGAGCGACGCCGCGUGAGGGAUGAAGGCCCUUUGGGUUGUAAACCUCUGUUAGGGGGAAAGAAAAGCAGUGGAAGCAAUAUGUCCAUUGCCUGACGUUACCCCCAGAGAAAGCUCCGGCCAACUCCGUGCCAGCAGCCGCGGUAAUACGGGGGGAGCAAGCGUUGUCCGGAAUCAUUGGGCGUAAAGGGCGUGUAGGCGG